AUGACCAGCCGCAGCUGCCACCUCUCGCCGGCAGCGGGUCCGCUGGAGGACGACAACCUGCUCUGCGAGAUCCUCCUCCGCCUCCCCCCGGAGCCGUCCUCCCUCCCGCGCGCCUCCCUCGUCUGCAAGCGCUGGCGCUGCCUCGUCUCCGACCCCCGCUUCUGCCGCCGCUUCCGCCGCCACCACCGCCGAAACCCUCCCCUCCUUGGCUUCUUCAACAGAGACAGCGACCUCUUCCCCUUCGUACCUACUCUUGAGCCCCCAAAUCGUGUCUCGCCUGGCCGCUUCUCCUUGCAGCGCCGCGAAGGCGACCGCUUCAUCUCCCUUGGAUGCCGCCAUGGCCUCGUGCUCAUCCACAACGUACGGCCGAACAAGGUCCUGGUGUGGGACCCCGUCACCGGCAAACAGCACCACCUUGCCAUCCCCCCUGAGCUUGUGAUACAUGCGGAGAACACAGCCAUCAAUGGGGCAGUGCUUCAUGCUGCCGGAGACAUCCAACAGUUUCAUGUGGUCUUGACAGUGGUGGACAACGUCGACAAGCAACACAAACGAGCGCUCGCCUGGCUUUACUCUUCCGAGACCAACUUAUGGGGUGAUCUUGUCUCAACACCGGUUCCAUUCAAGGUUUCCACCUCGGAUAUUUUGGGUGAUGAAGAUGAUGUCACCUUGGUGUUUACGGGAAAACCCGCUGUGAUGGUUAGGGAUUCUAUUUACUGGAUUCUUGCUGGGAAUUUUGUUGGAAUUCUUGAGUUUGAUUUGGAGAAGCAAAGCCUAGCUGUGAUACGGGUGCCAGCGCAUAUGCUUGAAAAUGGGUUUUACCAGUUCUGGAUUAUGCGGGCAGAGGGUGGUGGUCUUGGUUUACUGUUGCAGAAAGAUCAGAGCUUCCAGUUAUGGAAGAGGAAGUCUGAUUGUGAUGGUGUUGCUUCAUGGGUUCUUGGAAGAACUAUUGAACUGGACAAGCUACUUUCCCUGAAUGGAAAUGGCAGCCAAGUCAUACUAGGGUUCGCUGAGGAGAAUAAUGUGGUGUUUGUGUGGACACACGGUGUCCUCUUUAUGGUCAAUCUUGAGUCUUUGCAGUUCAAGAAACUUGGUGAAACCAGAACCCUUUCUCACUAUCAUCCAUUCGAAAGUGUCUACACUGCAGAAACAGACAUUGGUGGUGGACAUGAUGGAGUUGAUCUUUCACAGCACAUAAGAUGA
rnacentral:rRNA from 1 species